UGCUGGAGGUAUCAGAAGUGCGAAUGCUGACAUAAGUAACGAUAAAGCGGGUGAAAAGCCCGCUCGCCGGAAGACCAAGGGUUCCUGUCCAACGUUAAUCGGGGCAGGGUGAGUCGACCCCUAAGGCGAGGCCGAAAGGCGUAGUCGAUGGGAAACGGGUUAAUAUUCCCGUACUUGGUGUUACUGCGAAGGGGGGACGGAGAAGGCUAUGUUGGCCGGGCGACGGUUGUCCCGGUUUAAGCGUGUAGGUGUGUGUUCCAGGUAAAUCCGGUUCACUUUAACACUGAGGCGUGACGACGAGGCACUACGGUGCUGAAGCAACAAAUGCCCUGCUUCCAGGAAAAGCCUCUAAGCAUCAGGUAACACGAAAUCGUACCCCAAACCGACACAGGUGGUCAGGUAGAGAAUACCAAGGCGCUUGAGAGAACUCGGGUGAAGGAACUAGGCAAAAUGGUGCCGUAACUUCGGGAGAAGGCACGCUGACACGUAGGUGAAGUGAUUUACUCAUGGAGCUGAAGUCAGUCGAAGAUACCAGCUGGCUGCAACUGUUUAUUAAAAACACAGCACUGUGCAAACACGAAAGUGGACGUAUACGGUGUGACGCCUGCCCGGUGCCGGAAGGUUAAUUGAUGGGGUCAGCGCAAGCGAAGCUCCUGAUCGAAGCCCCGGUAAACGGCGGCCGUAACUAUAACGGUCCUAAGGUAGCGAAAUUCCUUGUCGGGUAAGUUCCGACCUGCACGAAUGGCGUAAUGAUGGCCAGGCUGUCUCCACCCGAGACUCAGUGAAAUUGAACUCGCUGUGAAGAUGCAGUGUACCCGCGGCAAGACGGAAAGACCCCGUGAACCUUUACUAUAGCUUGACACUGAACAUUGAGCCUUGAUGUGUAGGAUAGGUGGGAGGCUUUGAAGUGUGGACGCCAGUCUGCAUGGAGCCGACCUUGAAAUACCACCCUUUAAUGUUUGAUGUUCUAACGUGGACCCGUAAUCCGGGUUGCGGACAGUGUCUGGUGGGUAGUUUGACUGGGGCGGUCUCCUCCUAAAGAGUAACGGAGGAGCACGAAGGUUGGCUAAUCCUGGUCGGACAUCAGGAGGUUAGUGCAAUGGCAUAAGCCAGCUUGACUGCGAGCGUGACGGCGCGAGCAGGUGCGAAAGCAGGUCAUAGUGAUCCGGUGGUUCUGAAUGGAAGGGCCAUCGCUCAACGGAUAAAAGGUACUCCGGGGAUAACAGGCUGAUACCGCCCAAGAGUUCAUAUCGACGGCGGUGUUUGGCACCUCGAUGUCGGCUCAUCACAUCCUGGGGCUGAAGUAGGUCCCAAGGGUAUGGC
rnacentral:rRNA from 1 species